rnacentral:rRNA from 1 species
UCUUUUCCUUUUUUUCCAGCCGCCGCGGUAAUACAGAGGUCUCAAGCGUUGUUCGGAAUCACUGGGCGUAAAGCGUGCGUAGGCUGUUUCGUAAGUCGUGUGUGAAAGGCGCGGGCUCAACCCGCGGACGGCACAUGAUACUGCGAGACUAGAGUAAUGGAGGGGGAACCGGAAUUCUCGGUGUAGCAGUGAAAUGCGUAGAUAUCGAGAGGAACACUCGUGGCGAAGGCGGGUUCCUGGACAUUAACUGACGCUGAGGCACGAAGGCCAGGGGAGCGAAAGGG